rnacentral:rRNA from 1 species
AUUGAACGCUGGCGGCAUGCCUUACACAUGCAAGUCGAACGGUAACGCGGGGCAACCUGGCGACGAGUGGCGAACGGGUGAGUAAUGCAUCGGAACGUGCCCGGUAGUGGGGGAUAACUGCUCGAAAGAGCAGCUAAUACCGCAUACGACCUGAGGGUGAAAGGGGGGGAUCGCAAGACCUCUCGCUAUCGGAGCGGCCGAUGUCGGAUUAGCUAGUUGGUGGGGUAAAGGCCUACCAAGGCGACGAUCCGUAGCUGGUCUGAGAGGACGACCAGCCACACUGGGACUGAGACACGGCCCAGACUCCUACGGGAGGCAGCAGUGGGGAAUUUUGGACAAUGGACGCAAGUCUGAUCCAGCCAUGCCGCGUGCGGGAAGAAGGCCUUCGGGCUGUAAACCGCUUUUGUCAGGGAAGAAAUCUUCUGAGUUAAUACCUCGGGAGGAUGACGGUACCUGAAGAAUAAGCACCGGCUAACUACGUGCCAGCCGCCGCCGUAAUAC